rnacentral:rRNA from 1 species
GACGGAGCAAGACCGCGUGCGGGAGGACGGCCUAUUGGUUGUAAACCGCUUUUGAUAGGGAAGAAGUUCUGACGGUACCUAUCGAAUCAGCAUCGGCUAACUCCGUGCCAGCAGCCGCGGUAAUACGGAGGAUGCAAGCGUUAUCCGGAAUUAUUGGGCGUAAAGGGUCCGUAGGUGGUCGUUCAAGUCCCAUGUCAAAGCGUGCGGCUUAACCCCAUA